rnacentral:rRNA from 1 species
GUGCAAAGGUAGCAUAAUCAGUUGGCUUAUAAUUGAAGUCUGGAAUGAAUGAAAUAACGGGUAAAAGCUGUCUUUGAGAUAAUUUGUAAAAUUAGUAAGUAAGUGCAAAGACUUAUGGAAUUAAAAUAGACGAGAAGACCCUAGAAAUUUUUACAGUAUAUGUUUUUGUUGGGGCGACAGAGUUACAGUUAACUAACUUUAUAAAACAUGUGACAUAGGUGUUAGAUUAAAUUACUCUAGGGAUAACAGCAUAAUUUUUAAAAGUUUGUGACCUCGAUGUUGGACUAGGUAUAGUGUUUUUUAGAAGAAAUCACUUUCUGCUCUGUUCGAGCAAAUAGGCCUG